rnacentral:rRNA from 1 species
CUACGGGAGGCAGCAGUGGGGAAUAUUGGACAAUGGGGGCAACCCUGAUCCAGCGAUGCCGCGUGGGUGAAGAAGGCCUUCGGGUUGUAAAGCCCUUUAGGUUGGGAAGAAGGUGUUUAGGGGAUAAUCCUAGGCAUUUGACGGUACCAACAGAAUAAGCACCGGCAAACUCUGUGCCAGCAGCCGCGGUAAUACAGAGGGUGCGAGCGUUAAUCGGAAUUACUGGACGUAAAGGGCGCGUAGGCGGUGAGAUAUGUGUGAUGUGAAAGCCCUGGGCUUAACCUGGGAAGUGCAUCGCAAACGGUCUGACUGGAGUAUAUGAGGGGGUGGCGGAAUUUCCGGUGUAGCGGUGAAAUGCGUAGAGAUCGGAAGGAACGUCAAUGGCGAAGGCAGCCACCUGGCAUAAUACUGACGCUGAGGCGCGAAAGCGUGGGGAGCGAACAGGAUUAGAUACCCGGGUAGUCC